rnacentral:rRNA from 1 species
CCCUUAGAUGUUCUGGGCCGCACGCGCGCUACACUGACGAUGGCAACGAGUUUUUCCUUCGCCGAAAGGUGUGGGUAAUCUUUUGAAACAUCGUCGUGCUGGGGAUAGAUCAUUGCAAUUUUUGAUCUUGAACGAGGAAUUCCUAGUAAGCGCGAGUCGUCAGCUCGCGUUGAUUACGUCCCUGCCCUUUGUACACACCGCCCGUCGCUACUACCGAUUGAAUGGUUUAGUGAGGACUCCUGAUUGGCGCCGCCGCCCCGGCAACGGAGCAGCGGACUGCCGAAAAGUUGUUCAAACUUGAUCAUUUAGAGGAAGUAAAAGUCGUAACA